ACUUGCUUCAGCAACACAAUACUUAAAUUUGAAAAAUACAGAGAAGAUCAUCAUGACCCCUGCCAAGGAUGGUAUGCAAAUUCAUGGAAUGGUCAGUAUUUUU